CUUCCGCCGGCGACCGGCGCACGGGUGAGUAACACGUAUGCAACCUGCCCCUGUCAGGGGGACAACCCGCCGAAAGGCGGGCUAAACCCGCGUACAUGCCACCGGGGCAUCCCGGAGGCAGGAAAGGCUUCGGCCGGACAGGGAUGGGCAUGCGGCGCAUUAGGCAGUAGGCGGGGUAACGGCCCACCUAACCGACGAUGCGUAGGGGUUCUGAGAGGAAGGUCCCCCACACUGGUACUGAGACAUGGACCAGACUCCUACGGAAGGCAGCAG
rnacentral:rRNA from 1 species